AACGAACGCUGGCGGCAUGCCUAACACAUGCAAGUCGAACGAGACCUUCGGGUCUAGUGGCGCACGGGUGCGUAACGCGUGGGAACCUGCCCUUAGGUUCGGAAUAACUCCCCGAAAGGGGUGCUAAUACCGGAUAAUGUCUUCGGACCAAAGAUUUAUCGCCUUUGGAUGGGCCCGCGUUGGAUUAGCUAGUUGGUAGGGUAAAAGCCUACCAAGGCGACGAUCCAUAGCUGGUCUGAGAGGAUGAUCAGCCACACUGGGAGUGAGACACGGCCCAGACUCCUACGGAAAGCAGCAGUGGGGAAUAUUGGACAAUGGGCGAGAGCCUGAUCCAGCAAUGCCGCGUGAGUGAUGAAGGCCUUAGAGUUGUAAAGCUCGUUUACCCGGGAUGAUAAUGACAGUACCGAGGGAAUAAGCUCCGGCUAACUCCGUG
rnacentral:rRNA from 1 species